rnacentral:misc_RNA from 1 species
GUUCAUUGUUGGGGCUUACUUUAGAAACCUUGGUUGUGGCUGCAAACAUCUGGGUUUAUCCUAUCUAGAGAUCACGUCCUCUCAGCCUACCAAAAUUGAACGUCUCAGGAAAUCAACUUAGAGCAUUGACAGCCAUUGACGAAAUGAACGGUGUCUGAUUCGCUAACACCGGACUCACCGAGGUCCUCUUUAAGUUUUCUUACAAGUCCGCAACAACAGGAGCCUUAGUUUCUUUUGGACUUCGAGGGGGAGGGAAGCGACAGGAACUGAGCUGUGCUUCAUCUUACUCCCUCGCGUGCUAUAUUCUAUAUUUACUCGCUUUUGCAUAUGUACACGUUUUAUCCUUAUACCUUUCAAUAAAAAAUAUUUGUAAUUUUGUUUUUAUGUUUUCAUUUCAAUUUUAAAAGAAGUGCAUUACAAUUUAUAAUAAAAAAAAGAAAAAAAUUAACAUUAUUAAAAAAUAAAAAAUGGGACGUGAUUGUUACUCGCAGUUGCACGAGUAUAGAAGAGCGCGUGGCAACAGAUCCCAACUUUUAACUGUCACACUGCACUUGUAUUCGCUACUGUUUUCAUUUUCAUUGGAUGGUCUGAAACCGAUACGGUUGCGACUCCGAAGAUAAGAUCGGAAUCGGAGCCGGACACACCCACCGCCUAGCCAUGACCUCCCCCACUCUCUCUCUUCCUCCUCACUCUCUCUUGUUUCUAGGAAACGGCACCGUCCCUGCUCUCCUCAGUUCUCUCUGUGUCAACUCGCUCAUUUCAACUCAUUCAACUCCUCUCCGAGUCAAGGCUUCUUCCGUCGAGCCACCGCCUUCCCCAGGUCUCUCUUUUUCUUUCUCUUUGUCUAUCUAUUUGUGUAUAUCUAGCUGGAGAAUAACAUAGAGUGGGUAAUUAUACUUAUUUACAAGAUAGAAUUUAGAUUUCCUCAUUUUCAAGGCAUGUUAAUUUGGUUUGAAAAUAAGCUAUUUUUCUUAUGCUUUUAUUAUAUAUUUAGUCCUUUGCUUUUCAUAGGUGCCAAAUUGCAAUUUUUUUUUUAUUGAUUGUAUAUGUGGUGCUGAUUGAACCCUUUUUGACAAAUUAACAUGGGUUUAAUUUGGUUAGAAGUGAACCAUUUCUGUGAUGUGGUGAUUAGGUUAUAUGUAUUUAGCUUUUGAUUUAUGUUGUUUCAGGUUUGUUCAUUGGACAUUUGCUGCAUUUUCUAGGCAUCUAGUGUUGAUGCAUUGUAUUUAAACGGUCAAAAUUCUGAAGAUUAGACUAAUCUGUUCUCUAAUUCUUUAUUUUUAGCGCUAUCUUUUGCUUUGGAAGGGAUUGAACAAUUGAUUCUGUAUGUAUAUACGAUGACAUGGAAUGAAAAUUUGAGCCAAAGGUGUUGAGAAUGUGGUAAUUAUAGGUUCAGGUCCUGCUGGAUAUACAGCUGCCAUAUAUGCUGCUCGUGCCAAUUUGAAACCUGUAGUGUUUGAGGGGUAUCAAAUGGGUGGUGUGCCUGGUGGACAGCUGAUGACUACCACUGAAGUAGAGAAUUUUCCAGGGUUUCCAGAAGGAAUAACUGGUCCAUAUUUGAUGGAUAGGGAAUAGAAAUAAUGGAUCAGCUUUCCUUUCAGUUACAUAUAUAUAUAUUUUUUUGUAAUGUUGAAUUCUUG